rfam:Erinaceus europaeus unplaced genomic scaffold scaffold00287, whole genome shotgun sequence
CUGUGUGCGGAUGAUGACAACAUGUCUGGCUGAGUCCCCGUGAUGGUCCAGUCUCAAAGUAAACGCCCUGACGCACACUGG